rnacentral:rRNA from 1 species
GAACGCCCCGCAAGGGGAGUGGCAGACGGGUGAGUAACACGUGGGAACGUACCCUUUUAUACGGAAUAACCCAGGGAAACUUGGACUAAUACCGUAUGUGCCCUUAGGGGGAAAGAUUUAUCGGAAAAGGAUCGGCCCGCGUUGGAUUAGCUAGUUGGUGGGGUAAAGGCCUACCAAGGCGACGAUCCAUAGCUGGUCUGAGAGGAUGAUCAGCCACAUUGGGACUGAGACACGGCCCAAACUCCUACGGGAGGCAGCAGUGGGGAAUAUUGGACAAUGGGCGCAAGCCUGAUCCAGCCAUGCCGCGUGAGUGAUGAAGGCCUUAGGGUUGUAAAGCUCUUUCACCGGAGAAGAUAAUGACGGUAUCCGGAGAAGAAGCCCCGGCUAACUUCGUG